rnacentral:pre_miRNA from 1 species
AAUAAACCAAUUUUUCACUUUUUACCUAUAAUCUUUGACUCUUAGUCUUAUUUAAAACUUUUUUUGCAAUUGAUAUUUUUGUUUUUAUUAGAUGAUAAAUCAUGAAUAGUACUUUACGUGUGAUUAAUUUUUUUUCUAAUUUCCUGAAAUUUUUUCAAAUAAGACGGAUGGCCAAACGAUGGCACAAAAACCGAUG